rnacentral:piRNA from 1 species
UAUAUAAGGAAGUACCUGCUU